rnacentral:lncRNA from 1 species
GUGGUGACCUCCGUGGCCGGCCUGUCGGCCCAGGACAUCAGCCAGCCCCUGCAGAACAGCUUCAUCCACACAGGGCAUGGCGACAGUGACCCCCGCCACUGCUGGGGCUUCCCGGACAGGAUUGACGAGACACCCCCCAGCUGAGACGUGCGGUCAGGUUCUGUGGACUGGGAGGCGGGAGGCCUGUGCUUCAGACCCAAGACUACACCCGGUUUCCUCCAGGACGAAGGGGCUCUGAUGAGAUUCUGCCACCCCUCCACACGCUUCCCCUGCUCUCUUGACCCAGCUCUCUCCCCCACAGACUGUAUCUGGGAAACCCCAUGGACCCCCCCGACCUCCUGAGCGUGGAACUGAGCACCUCCCGGCCCCCCCAGCAUCUAGGAGGGGUGAAAAGUAAGAGCCCCUCUGCUCCCUGGUGUCCCUAACUCAUCGGCUACUCAGGAAGGGGCACUGUCUUCACAGGCCACCCUAAGGCUGCUGUUCUGUUUUUGGGGACAGUGGGGUCAGGGCAGCAGGCGGGACAGCUGUGUCCCUGGCUCCGGCUGGGCGUGGGGUGGAAGACAGGCAGCUGUAUCCGCCGAGGUGGGCCUCCUCGGGCUGGGUCUGCAGCAGGCCCGUCCGCCCCGGCGUCCCUCCUCCCUCCUUCCACGGCCGAGCUCAGAUCCUGGCUUUCCUCACUUCCCCCUAAUCCUGCUCUCCUGUCCCAAGCCAAAACCACCCCACGGCUCCGGCUCUGCCUGGGGCCUCCUCCAUCUCCCGGUCCUCUGCCUAUCAUACUGGACCGCCGUGUUCCUCAUCCUGCCGCCUGCGGCCUCCCGUUUGCUGGGGGCUUGUACAUUCACUCGCCCCCAUUCACUUCUCUCCCUUCGUCUCUCUACACUCUGCCCUCUCGUCCGGCCGUCUCCCUCCUUUGUCCUCUGUCCUGCUCCGUCUCUCUCCCCCUGUCCGCAUGGCCUUUCUUGCAGGGGAGCCUCCACCUCGCCCACCUCAGCCUGCCUUCUUCACUCAGAGUAAGUGGGGCUGCUUCCGAUGCCUUGGCCCCCGCCCC